rnacentral:rRNA from 1 species
UUUCGCAAUGCCCGAAAGGGUGACGAAGCGACGCCGCGUGCGGGAGGAAGGCCUUCGGGUUGUAAACCGCUGUCGGGAGUUAAGAAAUGCAAGGAUGUUAAUAGCGUUCUUGCUUGACUAAGGCUCCGGAGGAAGCCACGGCUAACUCUGUGCCAGCAGCCGCGGUAAUACAGAGGCGGCAAGCGUUGUUCGGAAUUAUUGGGCGUAAAGAGCACGUAGGCGGCUGUGUAAGUCGGUUGUGAAAGCCUUCCGCUCAACGGAAGAACGGCAUCCGAUACUGCAUGGCUUGGGUGUGGGAGGGGAGAGUGGAACUUCUGGUGGAGCGGUGAAAUGCGUAGAUAUCAGAAGGAACACCGGCGGCGAAGGCGACUCUCUGGUCCAUAACUGACGCUGAGUGUGCGAAAGCUAGGGGAGCAAACGGGAUUAGAUACCCCGGUAGUCCUAGCCGUAAACGAUGGGCACUAAGUAGAGGGGUUUU